rnacentral:tRNA from 1 species
GAAAAUGACCUUUAGAGCUUCUAACUCUAUAUAUUGCAAAUUUGUAACAUUUUCU